rnacentral:tRNA from 1 species
GGGGUGGAGCAGCCCGGUAGCUCGUCAGGCUCAUAACCUGAUAGGCUGAGGCGACCAAGAGACUUCCAGUGGAAGUCUCGCCUCGCCGAAGAGUUCAAAUCCUCCGGCCCA